ACGCUCCGUUUACGUGCCCGAGUUUGCUCCUGACGCCCGCGUUUCAAUGUUUAAGUGAAAACCGCGACGAUCUGCACACUCAAAAGCAAGUGCCAGGCAGAAGAAGUACAGACAAGAUAACAUGAACAUUUCCAUCAUCUAAAAAUGGAUUAAGGCUGCAAGGCACUGCCUGGCUAAGGAGCCUGGCCACUCAGGUGAAAAAUACCAGGCCCCUGUGUGGAUCUGGGGGACAGCAGGAGUCUGUUGUUAAGAAAACUUUUUCUCCCUUUGCAUGAUAAUAUUGCUCAGAUGAAAAUCACACAAUUUUUGUGUGAUCUCCAAAUACCACCUUCAAUAAAAUAAUUUGUUCAUUGAUCUGAAGAAUGAGUGGUUUCCAGCUGCUUCCUUCCCCGGGACAGACUUUCGCAUUGGAAUCUGUCUCUUUGACUCACUUCUGGUAGAGGUUGGCCUCCCGUGGAGGCCAUUGUGAAAGGGCCAGGCAGCCUGGGGAGGCUGGGGAUGGAGCCCUUGUUUCUCUAGGAAUCAGAGGGCUUAGCAGAAUCAAACACAAAAUCAUAAUAUGAUAAUUUGAGCUUAAACGUGAAGGUAUUUAUGAUCACUGAUCUUCAUCUCAAAGGUAGGCGAGUGGAAUUCUUGCUGGACUGUGGGGGCCAAGGCGACCCUCCUUUUACUAAUCUCUAUCAUCAACGGACUCUUAACCUUCAGAGUAACAUGAGGAAACUUUGUGUAUCUUUUCACUGACUGUAUCAUUGAUCCUGAAGGAGGAGAGUCUAAAGGAGGAUUCUUUGUGUGCAUUUUGUUUGCUAAUUAAAUUGUUUUUGCAAGAGUUACACAGUCCAUGUGUGUUGCUUGAUACAUCCAUAUCUAUAAGUUCUUUUUUUUUUUGCAUAAUUUAACUUUUAGGGUUGCUUCCUCUCUCAAUAAGAUGCUUAUUUCAUUGAGCUGGAAACAUCAAGUUUGUAAAUGAGGAAGAGCUGGAGGCAUCUUUUUGUUUUGUUUUAAAGCAGUGUAACACCAUGAUAAAGAGCUCAGGACCAGUCAGAUGGCACCAAGUUUGCCAUCCAGCCUCACCACUUGCAAGCUGUUUGUAAGCAGCGCAUUUUGAUCUUUGAGCCUCAGUUUUCUCAUCAGUAGAACUGGACUAAUUCUUUCUCCCUCAUAAGGUCAUCAGGAUUAAAAGAGAAAAUGAUUAAGGAGCCCAGAGACCAGCUAUUCAAUGAAUGGCCAGCUACUCUUAUUACUUGUGUAAUACAUGUUGUUGAAUAUUUUAGAAAUAGAAGCCCCACCAAAGGCUGUGGGCUUCAGUCAUCUGCAGAGCCGGGUGAAGAAGUGCCAUUCCUCCUUCCUUCCUGGCUGGUCUUUGGGGUGAUGUACCUGGGAAUCCAAUAACUAUUGGCUGAUUGAUUUCCUAUGUAUCUGAAGAUGCAUUUUAAAGGGUCAGCUGAGUUAUGGAGGGGUCUGGGGUCUAAGUCUUCACUAAACAAAUAUUCUCACUCCAAUCCAUCAAAUGUUAGUACCAUGUAUCUAGGCCACACACACACACACACACACACACACAAUCACACAUGAAAACACAUACAUGCACACAAGUGUACUGGUUGGUUGCUGGAUUCCUGGUAGGGACAUUAUAAACUGUGCUUUCCAUCUUUUCCCUACAGCCAAAGCUAAAGAUCACAAGGAGGUCCCUUCAUUCCUUUCUUUCUUCCGUCUUUUCCUCCCUCCCUCCCUUUCUCCCUUCUUCCUCCUUCCUUCCUAUCUGUCUCUCUAUCUAUCUGUCUGUCUGUCUGUCUGUCUAGAUAUAUAAAGUGUAUCCUAGGUAGGAUCGGCACUGUGAAUGAGAACAGAAAUGCUUUGAAACCAUUGCAUCAACACAAUAGCAAAAUGAAAGCAGUGAUGUUCUCCUAGUUUCCAUGUUCCAAAUUAAAAA
rnacentral:lncRNA from 10 species